UACGAAGGGGGCUAGCGUUGUUCGGAAUUACUGGGCGUAAAGCGCGCGCAGGCGGCUUUCCAAGUCAGUGGUGAAAGCCCGGAGCUCAACUCCGGAAUUGCCAUUGAAACUGUAAAGCUUGAGUACGAGAGAGGUGAGUGGAAUUCCCAGUGUAGAGGUGAAAUUCGUAGAUAUUGGGAAGAACACCGGUGGCGAAGGCGGCUCACUGGCUCGUCACUGAUUCUCAGGCGCGACAGCGUGUGGAUCAAACAGG
rnacentral:rRNA from 1 species